GAUGAACGCUGGCGGCGUGCCUAAUACAUGCAAGUCGAGCGAACAGACGAGGAGCUUGCUCCUCUGACGUUAGCGGCGGACGGGUGAGUAACACGUGGAUAACCUACCUAUAAGACUGGGAUAACCUCGGGAAACCGGAGCUAAUACCGGAUAAUAUAUUGAACCGCAUGGUUCAAUAGUGAAAGACGGUUUUGCUGUCACUUAUAGAUGGAUCCGCGCCGCAUUAGCUAGUUGGUAAGGUAACGGCUUACCAAGGCAACGAUGCGUAGCCGACCUGAGAGGGUGCUCGGCCACACUGGAACUGAGACACGGUCCAGACUCCUACGGGAGGCAGCAGUAGGGAAUCUUCCGCAAUGGGCGAAAGCCUGACGGAGCAACGCCGCGUGAGUGAUGAAGGUCUUCGGAUCGUAAAACUCUGUUAUUAGGGAAGAACAAAUGUGUAAGUAACUAUGCACGUCUUGACGGUACCUAAUCAGAAAGCCACGGCUAACUACGUG
rnacentral:rRNA from 1 species